GCGGCAAGUUCUCAGCCCAUUCUGACAGUGACCCUAGGAAAAGACAGAGAGCCAGGGCUUGGCUCGGUUGGUAAAAGAGGCUUGAAAUGGUUUGCCUGGUGAUCCCAGCCUUUUGGUGCUUAGAGAGAAGAGGCGGGAGAAAGACCGAGGAAGAACAUUUUGGGGACCACUAUCAGCUGUAUGAAUUGUCAUCACCUCCUGUUGCCACUGUAUGGUAGCUGUACAUAAGAAGUCUGAGUCUGUUCUAAGAACACAUUUAUACUGGUGUAAUCUCAAUGACUUCACUGCAGCCACGCCUUAUUUACAGGAGUCAGAACACAAGUAGGAUCAAGGUACAAGGCCAAAGUACGGAGCAGGAAAAUUACCACUCUCUCCAGGAGCCAUCAGCUCCUGCCCACUUCCCUGCAACAGUGAUUCCACCAGCCACUCCCAGAUCAUGUUCUGAGAUAUAUAAUCUUCCUUAAUUCAGGACUUGAGCAGCAGCUUUUAACUGAAACCCAACAGAAUGCACCAGCAGUAGGAAAAGAGCAUUGAAGCAAGAUAGGUGAAUAGCCUGUGACCUCUCUGGACUCAGGAUGGAGUUUGCAGGAGCCAUCUUGAGAGGAAAGAGAGCAGUUCCAAAGCAGCCACACCAAACUCUGGCUGCAACAAACCCCUGACCUGGGGAAAACUAGUCCUGCUAUCAGGAAGAGAGCAGCAGUCACACUGGGUCCCAGCCUGAGAGGAACGUGUCAGCUAGCAAAUGCAGACCUGCAAGAUGACCUUUCACCAUCAUUUCUAUCGCUAAUGCUAAGAGGAGCUGACCAGGAGAUCUGCACCUGUCUAGUUUCAGAGAAGAAAAGCUGCAGCCAUCCUCUAGCCCAGAGCAGCAACACACAUGCCUGUUCCUGAAGGCUCCACCAGCCAAAUUACUGUGUUCCAGAAGGGCCAGUGUCCUGGUAGGUGACCAGACUCAUUGACUCAUCCACCUGACCUGGAGGCCUAAUCUGGAUAAGUGUAAGCAGUUCCAGAGGCACACCUCUGCAACUCCUUUCUGAGCUAGAACAGGGUAUUAGAUAGACUCUUGGACAACAUGUAUGCAGACUGUGGGCUUCAGACGCCACUGUCUUUUGUCUUGUGUUGUCACCAACACUUUUACAAGUUUAGUGUAAAACGCUACCACAUGGGAAUGGCUGUACACUCAUUCUGCACAGGCGUAAAUGAUUAGGUGAGAUGCAAGUCAGUGAUGAAUUGAGCCUUAUGUACUCCAUGGGCCAGAUUCUUGGCUGUUGUAAAUCAGCCUAGUUCCUUUUAUGGCAAUGGAGCACCUGAGACUCCAACUUCGUAUUUCUGCUACUACACUUCUGUUAUGAAGACCCAUUGCAGGCAGCAGCUUUGGCUUCCUGAGCUCUGUUGUAGGCCGUUUUUGUCACAUGACUUAGGGGUCUAUGAUCUCUGUUUUUUCUGCUAAUUUAUCUCCUGGAGCUUUCUACAAAUAACAGCAAAAGAUCUCCAGGUCCCUCUGCUUCUGUUGAUGGUGGAGGUAGAGGGGGGCAAGGGUGUCUAACAAAUACAUAAUUUUCUUCUCACUUCAUUGUUCUCUCUCCAUCUGAAAUGGCAGGUGUGCUGAGCAGGAAUGGUGUGUGAAUCGAUUUGGAGGCAAUCAGUGACACAGCAGCUGGCCAGAGCCGAACACCAAGUCAUCGAUCGGCUCCAAAUCAAUUUGCACACCGCUCCUGCUCACGUUACCUGCCAUUUCAGACAAAGAGGGAACAGUGAAGUGAGAAGAAAAUUGCACAAAAGUACACUGGGACCUUUCUAAAUAAUCUGAGAGGUCACUUACUAGCCACCCUUCCCUUCUUGUACGUGUGUCUAUACUAUAGAUGAAAGUAUGUGAUGGGGCUAUAUUGCUAUGCCUUGUUCCAUGGCUUAGAUGCUAUUGAAAGGGAACACAAGGCACUGGGAGAAACACUGAUGACUAGCAGAUAGCCUGGAUAAGACACACUGGGCUGGAUUCUCUGUUGCCUUGCACCUUCUGUAUUAGCUAGUUACACUAGUGCAAAGUGGGUAUAAGGCUCUGCCAUUCUCAGCUGCUCAGGUGUAAACAACGACCCGAGGUGACAGACAGUGGAGAAUCAGGCCCUUUAGUUUGUGAACACACUUAUCAGUGAACUGGUUUUUGUAUGUUUUAAUAAUACAGAUGUUGUGCAUGCCUGGAAGGCCUUCCAUCUGCAGAUGUCAAUGUGCUUUAUAAGCAUCCAUGAAUUAAGACUCCCAGCACUCAUGUCAGGUAGAAGGGAGUUAUUACCCCCAGUAACAAGAUGUGUGUCAAGCAUAAUUGCUUUGUCACUUUGGUUUGAUGGUGCUUUCCCUUUCCCCUUCCUUUGUACGUAUCUUCCCAUCUAAUUUGGACUAUAGACUCUUUUGAGCACGGACCUUGGUCCCAAUUCAUUCCCCGAUCCAGUGCAGGGACCAAAGGAGGCAGCUUGUGCUUCCCUAUCCUGAGGUACCAUUGGCCGGUCUGGCCCGGGCACAGGUCAGAAUUGCCAUGAAGGAUACCCUAACCUGUGCCCCAGUUAUCAGGGCUCUAUGGGCCUUGCAGCAGCUAAUGAAUACCUGAGGCAUAGGAACACCCAGGGCACAUACUGAAUGUCCCCUUUCCCAGAGGCUCUUGCACUGGGGCACAGCUGCAUCAUGCACUGUGGGUAUUUAUGUGGGGGAGUUUAGCCAGUGCAAAAUGAUCAUAGGGUAGCCAUGAAUUAGGCACCCUAUCUUCAUCCAUGCCUGCACAGCACCAAAGUGUCAAUGCACAGCAAUGUCCAUAAACUGCCAUAGACAACAAUAUGAAUAAUUAUUUUACUGAUCAGGAAAGUGAGGCACUGCAUGAUUGAGUAAAUUGCCCAAAGUCAUAUUGCAAGUCAAUGCCAUAUCUUGACUCAACACUUAAUCACAUUUAAUCACUGGAUCAUGCUGCCUCUCUUCUUAAUAAAAUAAAACGAUGUAGAUAGCAUACAGCUAAAUACAUUUGAAAGAUGCAGUGGAAGCUAGGAUAGGGGCUCUUUAUUUGUUCUGCUGCAGUUCAGGACAUGGUGAGUGCAUAAACAGAGCAGAGAGCUGCAUUCCUUGCAUUGCUUUGGGGGUUAGCAACUGAACUAGGCAAAAUGAAAAACACUGAACACAGGUCCUGCCAGGUUCAGUAGAAGAAGAACUAGUUUUCAACUACUUUAUUAUUCACUAAUUAUUAAUGCAAGGAUUGACUACAUGCUUAUCUGUUUACAGUGGGUUAGAUUGCAGAUAGUCCUAAAGCAGAAGGAAGGAAGGAACGA